rnacentral:sRNA from 1 species
CGCGCGGCUGCAGCGGCGGCGGCGCCGCGCGUGAGGGGCCGCCUAAGGCCGAGCGGGCGCGGCGAGCGGCCGGGCGAGCGCAGCCAACAUGUCGGAUACCAAGGUAAAAGUUGCCGUCCGGGUCCGGCCCAUGAACCGACGAGAACUGGAACUGAACACCAAGUGCGUGGUGGAGAUGGAAGGGAAUCAAACGGUCCUGCACCCUCCUCCUUCUAACACCAAACAGGGAGAAAGGUAUUUGCCUUUGAUUAUUGCUUUUGGUCCAUGGAUGAAUCUAACACUACAAAAUAUGCUGGUCAAGAAAUGGUUUUCAAGUGCCUUGGGGAAGGAAUUCUUGAAAAAGCCUUUCAGGGGUAUAAUGCGUGUAUUUUUGCAUAUGGACAGACAGGUUCGGGAAAAUCCUUUUCCAUGAUGGGCCAUGCUGAGCAGCUGGGCCUUAUUCCAAGGCUCUGCUGUGCUUUAUUUAAAAGGAUCUCUUUGGAGCAAAAUGAGUCACAGACCUUUAAAGUUGAAGUGUCCUAUAUGGAAA